rfam:Rattus norvegicus chromosome 5, whole genome shotgun sequence.
GUAGAGGUGGCUCAGUGGUUAAGAGCACUGACUGCUCUUCCAGAGGUCCUGAGUUCAAAUCCCAACAACCACA